GAUGAACGCUAGCUACAGGCUUAACACAUGCAAGUCGAGGGGCAGCAUUUCAGUUUGCUUGCAAACUGGAGAUGGCGACCGGCGCACGGGUGAGUAACACGUAUCCAACCUGCCGAUAACUCGGGGAUAGCCUUUCGAAAGAAAGAUUAAUACCCGAUGGUAUAAUUAGACCGCAUGGUCUUGUUAUUAAAGAAUUUCGGUUAUCGAUGGGGAUGCGUUCCAUUAGGCAGUUGGUGAGGUAACGGCUCACCAAACCUUCGAUGGAUAGGGGUUCUGAGAGGAAGGUCCCCCACAUUGGAACUGAGACACGGUCCAAACUCCUACGGGAGGCAGCAGUGAGGAAUAUUGGUCAAUGGGCGCAGGCCUGAACCAGCCAAGUAGCGUGAAGGAUGACUGCCCUAUGGGUUGUAAACUUCUUUUAUAUGGGAAUAAAGUUUUCCACGUGUGGAAUUUUGUAUGUACCAUAUGAAUAAGGAUCGGCUAACUCCGUGCCAGCAGCC
rnacentral:rRNA from 1 species